GCUGAUAUAGCUCAGUAGGUAGAGCGCUUCCUUGGUAAGGAAGAGGUUCUCGGGUUCGAUUCCCGAUAUCAGCU
rnacentral:tRNA from 1 species